rnacentral:rRNA from 1 species
GAUGAACGCUGGCGGCGUGCCUAAUACAUGCCAGUCGAACGGGGAGUAGCAAUACUCUUAGUGGCGAACGGGUGAGUAACGCGUUGGUACCUGCCCCGAAGCGGGGGAUAACGGACCGAAAGGUCCGCUAAUACCCCAUGUGCUCGGUAACGAGUAAAGGUGAAAACCACUUUGGGAGGGGCAUGCGUCCCAUCAGCUAGUUGGUAAGGUAACGGCUUACCAAGGCGGUGACGGGUAGGGGACCUGAGAGGGUGGCCCCCCACAAUGGAACUGAAACACGGUCCAUACACCUACGGGUGGCAGCAGUAGGGAAUAUUGGUAAUGGGCGCAAGCCUGAACCAGCAACGCCGCGUGUGCGAUGACGGCCUUCGGGUUGUAAAGCACUUUUGACUGGGACGAGGAAGGACGGUACCGGUCGAAUCAGCCUCGGCUAACUACGUG